rnacentral:rRNA from 1 species
UACGUAGGUGGCAAGCGUUUGUCCGGAUUUACUGGGCGUAAAGAGCGCGCAGGCGGUCGUUCAAGUCGCGUGUGAAAGCCCCCCGGCUCAACUGGGGAGGGUCACGCGAUACUGAUCGACUGGAAGGCAGGAGAGGGUAGUGGAAUUCCCGGUGUAGUGGUGAAAUGCGUAGAUAUCGGGAGGAACACCAGUGGCGAAGGCGACUACCUGGCCUGUUCUUGACGCUGAGGCGCGAAAGCUAGGGGAGCAAACGGG